AACGAACGCUGGCGGCAGGCUUAACACAUGCAAGUCGAGCGCCCCGCAAGGGGAGCGGCAGACGGGUGAGUAACGCGUGGGAAUCUACCCAUCUCUACGGAAUAACGCAUGGAAACGUGUGCUAAUACCGUACACGUCCUUCGGGAGAAAGAUUUAUCGGAGAUGGAUGAGCCCGCGUUGGAUUAGCUAGUUGGUGGGGUAAAGGCCUACCAAGGCGACGAUCCAUAGCUGGUCUGAGAGGAUGAUCAGCCACACUGGGACCGAGACACGGCCCAGACUCCUACGGGAGGCAGCAGUGGGGAAUAUUGGACAAUGGGCGCAAGCCUGAUCCAGCCAUGCCGCGUGAGUGAUGAAGGCCCUAGGGUUGUAAAGCUCUUUCACCGGUGAAGAUAAUGACGGUAACCGGAGAAGAAGCCCCGGCUAACUUCGUGCCAGCAGCCGCAGUAAAAC
rnacentral:rRNA from 1 species